rnacentral:rRNA from 1 species
CGCAAGUCUGAUGGAGCAACGCCGCGUGAGUGAAGAAGGGUUUCGGCUCGUAAAGCUCUGUUGUUAAAGAAGAACGUGGGUAAGAGUAACUGUUUACCCAGUGACGGUAUUUAACCAGAAAGCCACGGCUAACUACGUGCCAGCAGCCGCGGUAAUACGUAGGUGGCAAGCGUUAUCCGGAUUUAUUGGGCGUAAAGCGAGCGCAGGCGGUCUUUUAAGUCUAAUGUGAAAGCCUUCGGCUCAACCGAAGAAGUGCAUUGGAAACUGGGAGACUUGAGUGCAGAAGAGGACAGUGGAACUCCAUGUGUAGCGGUGAAAUGCGUAGAUAUAUGGAAGAACACCAGUGGCGAAGGCGGCUGUCUGGUCUGCAACUGACGCUGAGGCUCGAAAGCAUGGGUAGCGAACAGGAUUAGAUACCCUGGUAGUCCAUGCCGUAAACGAUGAUUACUAAGUGUUGGAGGGUUUCCGCCCUUCAGUGCUGCAGCUAACGCAUUAAGUAAUCCGCCUGGGGAGUACGACCGCAAGGUUGAAACUCAAAAGAAUUGACGGGGGCCCGCACAAGCGGUGGAGCAUGUGGUUUAAUUCGAAGCUACGCGAAGAACCUUACCAGGUCUUGACAUCUUCUGACAGUCUAAGAGAUUAGAGGUUCCCUUCGGGGACAGAAUGACAGGUGGUGCAUGGUUGUCGUCAGCUCGUGUCGUGAGAUGUUGGGUUAAGUCCCGCAACGAGCGCAACCCUUAUUACUAGUUGCCAGCAUUAAGUUGGGCACUCUAGUGAGACUGCCGGUGACAAACCGGAGGAAGGUGGGGACGACGUCAAAUCAUCAUGCCCCUUAUGACCUGGGCUACACACGUGCUACAAUGGAUGGUACAACGAGUCGCGAAACCGCGAGGUUAAGCUAAUCUCUUAAAACCAUUCUCAGUUC